UCUUAAUCCGUUUUACAUCCUUCGAUUUUCCGUAAUAAUAUAGUGGACCUCUUUCACAUGUUAAGGAGUUAAAAAUGGUUUUUGGCCAAGCCAAUGAUGGACAGGACAGGUAUUAUGAAUGCUUGCACCAGAGAUCAGACACGUCAAUGAGAAAAUCAUAAAGAAAAUAUUGUUGGUAAACUGGGAAUCGAACCUGGAACACCGUGUGAAGAAAUAUACUUUUUUACUCAUUAGACUAGGCCGACCCUUACUUCAUUGUUAUCAAUAAAUUUUAAAUUAUCACUGAAGACGUUAUUUAUUUACUAAUUUAUAAAAAAAAUGAAAUUAUUGCUUGAUUAUUACUUGUUUUAAGAAUAAAUUAUACUUUUUUACUUAGUUUUAUCAAUUUUUAAGUAUAUUUAAUGUUAAAAAUAUAGUUUUAUUCCUUUUAAAUGGCAAAAUGCAAUGAUUGGCGUAAAUAUAGUAGAACUACAUGGCCAAUUCCAACAAUUCAACAAAUAUUUCUUCCCGAGUUCAAAAUUAAAUCAUAUGUAAAUGAAAAUACCUUCCAGGUUAUGCAAUUUAUUUGCAAAGGAGCAUUUGGAAAAGUAUACAAAGUAAAACAUUUAGAUUCCAACAAAAUAUAUGCUAUGAAAAUUCUUAAAAAGGCAAUGAUAAUUGAACAAAAUGGAGUACAACAAGUGAAAAAUGAAGUGCAAAUUCAGUCUAUAUGUGGACAUCAUCCUUUUAUUAUAAGCUGUUCAUUUUAUUGGCAAAGCAGGAAACAACUGUUUAUUGUUAGUAAUUAUGUGGAAGGAGGAGAAUUAUCAAAUUUGAUAUCAAAAUAUAAGUAUUUGCCGGAAAAAUUGUGCCGUUUUUACUUAGCUGAAAUAAUAAUUAUUUUAGAUUUUCUACAUAAUGCUGGUGUUAUAUAUAGAGAUUUAAAACCCGAAAAUAUUUUACUAGAUAAUGAUGGAUACUUUCAGUUAAUUGACUUUGGUUUAUCUAAAUGGUUACCAAUAGGCUGUUCUACUAGAACAAUUUGUGGAACGUCUCAAUAUAUGGCACCAGAAAUAUUACAAUCAGGAAUCUACAAUCACGCAGUUGAUUGGUGGUCAGCUGGUAUAUUAUUAUUUCAAAUGCUUACUAAUCAGUACCCACCAAAAAAUCAUGAAGAUAUAAAGAUAGCUCUCGAACACGUAAGCAAAGGUGCUACAGACAUUAUUCUUAAAUUACUGGAAACAAAUCCACAACAUAGAUUGAAGUCUCUACGUCAUGCUAAAUUUCAAACAUUUUUCCAUGGUUUUGAUUUCUCUGAUGUCACUUCAAAAAAAAACAUACUUGUAACAGUUAAAACUAUCAGCUCUAAAUUCUGAUAGCGAUAAUGAUAUUGAUGAAACUGCAUUAUGAAAUUGUAAAAUAAGUGAUGUCUGCAACUGUUGAAGCUUAUGAUAUCGACAUUAAACCUAAUGAAUUACUCAAACAGUUAAUCCUUAAAAUACCUUGUCAAAAUGACAACAAAGUAGUUCAUUUUGAAGAAUUUGACUAAAAUUAGAAUGUGAUUUUCAAGUCUAUCAAUCUAAAAUAUAUUUUUAAAUUAAUUGUGUUAAUUUGUAAUUACUUAUAUUGUAUAAAAAAUUACUGUGAUGAACGUUGAAAAUUUUAUGGAUGUUAGUGGAUAAAAUUAUUAUUUUGUCAUAAAUAUACCAAUUCA